rnacentral:tRNA from 1 species
CGUGGCGUAGAGCAGCCCGGUAGCUCGUCAGGUUCAUACCCUGAAGGUCGUCGGUUCGAAUCCGACCGCCGCAACCA